UGGAGAGACGCUCAACCAACCAACUGAGCCACCCAGGUGCCCCAUGUUGCUUGUACUUUUAUGUGACAUAGAAAUGAGAAAGCCUGCUGGUAUUUAUUGGUCUAAAACAGAGAACCUUGUAUGUGCUGUGGAUGCUCUGGUAGCUUGGAGCAGCUGCAGACCCCCACUUAAAGCAAUGUUUUUAACUACAGGAAAAGAAACGCACAGGUUUACAAAGCCAACCAAUUAUAUUGCACAUGCAGUGAUCAAAUUAUGAAAAAAUGUGAUGCAGCGAUAUGUAUCCUUCAUUAACAGCUUGGGGAACAAGACGGCAGACCUACCAUUAUAAUUUUGGUGUAGUGAUCAACAUACAGGAUAUUUUUGUGCUAUCAGACUGGCCAUGAGACAUGAAACUAUCUGGCAGUUCUCUGGGCAGCCACAAAAUCACAGGGUCUGCUGAUACAACUGUAGUUCCUUGUCUGAGUUCAUAAUCAAAGGAAAUGCUCAGUUUCAGUCUGAAGCUAUAAAAAUAAAGAUGUAAUUUUUUCCCCAUCCAAUUUCAUGGGUCCUCUGAAUUUUCUCCACAGACCUCUAGGGGUCCGUGGACCGCAGGUGAAGACCUCUAAGACAGUCAGCGGCAGAGGGUUCCAAGGACAAGGGAUCUCUCAGGAGGCAUUGGGAUCUGCUUUGCCUCGUCAUUCUGCCCUUGGAGAUUGUGUCCUACCUCGUACGCACCCACGUGACCAUGCCCUACGGAGUCUCUUCUGGGGAGCCCCACCUUCUCCAAGGCUGCUUCCAGGGAGGACCUGCAGUCCGGGAGGAAGGUCACCAUGUCCCUCAGCUGCUCCAAGUACUCCUCCAAUGAGGUCAGGCUGCCUCUGUGGGCAACAAACUCGUACUUCCGGAACUAGGGACACCCUGUCCUGGGGGGAAGCUCAUAGUUCCAGAAUCAAGAUGGCCCCUGACCGUGCAUUUUU